GAAUGUUUCGGACGUAUUUGAUACACUUCUAAGUGCAAUGACUUGAAAGCGCAAUCUCGUUUUCGUUUUUUCUAUGGGGGAUGUGAUAUUUUAGGCGGAUGUUGAUUUCUGCUUUUACACCUGCUAAUGCUGUCGUAAGUACUCAAAAUUUUAGGAAGUUCUAUUGCUUGUCACUGUCAUCUAAACCGUCUG